rnacentral:rRNA from 1 species
GACGAACGCUGGCGGCGUGCUUAACACAUGCAAGUCGAACGGUAAGGCCCUUCGGGGUACACGAGUGGCGAACGGGUGAGUAACACGUGGGUGAUCUGCCCUGCACUUCGGGAUAAGCCUGGGAAACUGGGUCUAAUACCGGAUAGGACCCUGGGAUGCAUGUCCUGGGGUGGAAAGCUUUUGCGGUGUGGGAUGGGCCCGCGGCCUAUCAGCUUGUUGGUGGGGUGAUGGCCUACCAAGGCGACGACGGGUAGCCGGCCUGAGGGGGUGACCGGCCACACUGGGACUGAGAUACGGCCCAGACGCCUACGGGAGGCAGCAGGGGGGAAUAUUGCACAAUGGGCGCAAGCCUGAUGCAGCGACGCCGCGUGAGGGAUGACGGCCUUCGGGUUGUAAACCUCUUUCAGCACCGACGAAGCGCAAGUGACGGUAGGUGCAGAAGAAGGACCGGCCAACUACGUGCCAGCAGCCGCCGUAA